AAAAGAAGAUCAGCAACUCGCAUUUCCAAAUUAGUAGCCUCCAUGUUCAAAGUUAACGAAGAACAAAGCAGAGAAUUGCUAAACAGCCAAGGAUGAUUAAAAACACUCCCUUGUAAUCCAUUACUUACAGAUCAUCUAAAUUGAUUCUUAAUAAUCUAUCUUCCAGUGAAUUUAGCUCGCUGGCCAAAUGUCUAAAGAAACUGUGAGACCCUAGAACUGGGCCCGGUCCACUUGACCGGCCCAGCCCCAAGCUCUUGGCCUCACGUGCAACCACGUGAGGGGGCAUGAAGAAUGGAAAAUCCAAAGAAGCCGGCCCCUUGGUUUUUUUAGGGUUUCUCUUCCUCCCUUUGAGACCACCGGAAGAGGAGCCGCCAGACCUCCUUCUUGGGCGAUCUUCUUCCUCGUGCAGCUAUCCAAGAGGGGGAGAGAGAGAGAGAGCGGAGAAGCCACGGCAUGGGUCUUCCUCUUUCUCUAUUGCCACCGGAAAGAAGCCGUCGGAUCUUCGCCGGGGCUGAGGUUCUGCGAGGAAUUUGUGAGUUUAAUUGGAUUUAUUGUGGAUCGCGUUCAAUAUCCGAAGAAUUAGCUCGAUCCGGGAUUUUACAAUAUGGAAGAGCGAAUAAAAGAAUUAUGACACAAGUUAUCUUAGAUUAGGUUUUAUUUAAAUUGAUGUUUUAUCUUUAUUGCUCCGCUGCGUAUUUAAAAUUGUGAGACUUUAUAAUUUGUGUCAGUCAAUGGAAUAAGAUUGUAUUUAUUUCAGUUGAA